UACGGGGGGGGCAAGCGUUGUUCGGAAUUACUGGGCGUAAAGGGCGCGUAGGCGGCCUGCUAAGUCGGAUGUGAAAUCCCUCGGCUCAACCGAGGAACUGCAUCCGAUACUGGCGGGCUUGAAUCCGGGAGAGGGGUGUGGAAUUCCAGGUGUAGCGGUGAAAUGCGUAGAUAUCUGGAGGAACAUCAGUGGCGAAGGCGACACCCUGGACUCAUACUGACACUGAGGUGCGAAAGCGUGGGGAGCAAACAGG
rnacentral:rRNA from 1 species